GACGAACGCUGGCGGCGUGCCUAACACAUGCAAGUCGAGCGGGGAUUUAAGUGGAAGUUCUUCGGAAUGGAGAUUUAAAUUCUAGCGGCGGACGGGUGAGUAACGCGUGAACAAUCUGUCCCGGACAGGGGGAUAACACUUGGAAACAGGUGCUAAUACCGCAUAAGACCACGGCCUCGCAUGGGGCUGAGGUAAAAGGAGCAAUCCGGUUCGGGGUGAGUUCGCGUCCGAUUAGCUAGUUGGUGAGGUAACGGCCCACCAAGGCGACGAUCGGUAGCCGGCCUGAGAGGGUGAACGGCCACAUUGGAACUGAGAGACGGUCCAAACUCCUACGGGAGGCAGCAGUGGGGAAUAUUGGGCAAUGGGCGAAAGCCUGACCCAGCAACGCCGCGUGAGGGAAGAAGGUUUUCGGAUUGUAAACCUCUGUCCUAUGGGACGAAGGAAGUGACGGUACCAGAGGAGGAAGCCCCGGCUAACUACGUG
rnacentral:rRNA from 1 species